CCCGUCACUGAAAUCACAAUGCAUAUAUAUACUCAAACACAGACAGAUAAGAAUAUUAUGACUAAAUCUAUUUACCAGAAUUAUGACUAAAGCAUUAAUUUCCUCUGUAAUGUGAUAUACAUAUGACUAAUAUUAACCAAACAUUUGUUUUUUUUCAACUAAGCACAUAACUUGUAUUAUCUUAUAGCCAUAUAGGCAUUAUUUUGACACACUCAUCUCUGACCGAUGACAGAAUUCUUCCUGAUUGUUACACUGAAACAUGUUUUUUUCUGUGAAACUGCUUUGUAUUGUGAAAAGUGUUAUUUACAUAAACUUGAAUAUGGCAAAUGCCAUGCAUGCUCAUUAAUUUGACAUUUUUAGGCUUGUUUCUAAGACAUUUGAUCACAAAUCACAGCAAGUGACCUUCUUCAGCCAUGGCUCCAAGUGAAAAAUGUUACAUGUAUGCAUGCACUAACAUAAUACAAUGGGUACAAAAUCGAUCACUAACUUUUCAAGCGUAUGAUUUGAGGAUGACGUUAGAUAGCUUUAUUAAAACGCUAUCCGACCUAUUACGGGCUUUUGUUAGGAGACAUAGGCGUCAGUUGAGUCCCAGACAGUGUGUUCGACUCCCCAGAGAGUUCAGGUACUCUCUCAGACACAAUCUGUCUGCUUCUGUCGGGAAGCAACAUCAACGAAAAGGAGUAAUAUGCACCUAAAAUGGCAUGCUGUUGCUUUAAAAGACACAUCUCUAUACGUCCCUGUUAAAUUCGAACGCAAAUUCCUAUUGUAAGGGUUCGAAGAAUGUCUAUUAUGACAUCAUCAGUGGAAUGAAUAAGUAUUCUGCCCCAAUUCCGAUCACACCUGCCACUGAAAACACGCGCAAACGCAUAUCGAUAUUUUGACGUUCCUUUUUGCUAAAGAUGAAGAUACCGUGACGUCACACACAGGCAACCUUCCGGGUUCCUCGGAUUAGAUGCUGCUGCUGAUUCCAUGUCUCAGUCAGUCGUUUGGAUCUACGGAUAAUGUCGGAAAUAACCUCUCGAAUUUAAAAUUAU
ensembl:lncRNA